GUCACAGUUACAGCCUAAUGUCACUGAAUGGGGUGUCAAGAGCUGCGUAUUCUGAGCCCUCUGUAUUCUGCCAAGAUCCCAGGCACUGGAGCUGGUGCUGAGUGGAUGGCAGGGAGGGGAGCUUUCUUCUGCGUGAUCUUGGGGUUUUCUCACUCUGCCCUUCCUAUUUGUUCUCCUGGGAUGUUGGCUUGAUGAGGUCACCCUCAUGUUAGCUUUCACCUCAGUAGGGGACUUCCCUCAGGCUGCAAGGGCCCUCAGGGAUCUUUGACGUUCCUGCAAAUGAACAUCCCUUCCUCCAUUCCUUCCCUCUCAGAGGUCACCCACAGUCCAGGAUCCCGAUCUUUUGGGUAGAGGGUGAAGUUUUCUCUUACCUCAUUCCAUCUCCCCCAAGGGGUCUCCAACCUCUCCUCCCUCCAUUGCAUGGCUGCAUGGCUCUCUCGCACAUCUUUUGUGUUGUGUUUGGAUGUCCUCUGUUGGAGUGUGAAUGUCUUUUUCAUUGUAUGGUGGAAGAGAGAUUCUGAUAAAAUAUUUUGAACAGAAGGAUGAGAUUUCUACAUGCCCCCUGCAAAUCAGUUACCCAUGGUCAACCAUGGUCUGAAAAUAUUAAAUGGAAAACUCCAGGAAUAAACAAUUGUUCUCAGAGUCGGACCAGGACGUACACACUGGGCCCUGGUUCUCAGGCCUUCAGACUCAGACUGAACCACACCAGCAGCUCUCCUGGGUCUCCAGCUUGCAGACAGCAGAAGGCAGGACUUCUAAGCCUCCAUAACCAUACUCUCUCGUAGGAAGAAACAGCAGAGACGCUUCUGCUGCGAGGUCAGCAGAAGGAGGAAGAGUUUCCUGUAAGGACGCCCAGCACUAAGGAACACAGGGACCCAUGACACUCCUCGGAAGGGAAGCCAAGAACGAGCUCACGGAGCGAGCGGGACGCUCCGGGGAGGCUGGCGGCGGAGCUCGAGGUCUCCCGGUCAACAUUACAUGGUCAUCAGAAGUGGGAUCCAGAGAAAACCCCCAACAACUCUGAGGCUGGUGAGCAAAUAGGUACUAGUACCCACAGAGCCAUUGAGCUUUCUGCUUUCUUGCCGACCCUGGAGUUUGGGUGACAAGGUCCGCUUCUGCUGUUGGUCCCCUCCUGAUGAGAGGCUGUAAGAGGUUUUUCCCUAGUUUUCUGUUAUAUCAAAAUUAUUUCCUGUGCUUUAUUUUAAAGAUUUUAUUUUUUCCUUUUUCUCCCCAAAGCCCCCCUGUACACAGUUGUAUAUUCUUCAUUGUGGGUCCUUCUAGUUGUGGCAUGUGGGACGCUGCCUCAGUGUGGUCUGAUGAGCAGUGCCAUGUCCAUGCCCAGGAUUCGAACCAACGAAACACUGGGCUGCCUGCAGCGGAGCGCGCGAACUUAACCGCUCAGCCACGGGGCCAGCCCCUCCUGUGCUUUAUUUUAAAGGCUGAGUCUUUUCUAUUAAAAAGUGCUAAGGUUUUGCAGCUAUGUAACCUUCUAUAUUUGUCUUUGAAAUCCUUUUGUUACUGGUUAAAUGGAUAAUUAAAUAUUGUUUCAUAAUUUUCUGUGAUCCUAUUUGGUCUUAUGUCCAAAGCCUUUUGACAUUUUUGACAAACUUCCCAAAAAUCAAAUUCUAAAUAAAGUCUUUUUGACCUGAAAAUAACUUUGGGAAUUUCCAGACGGUGCCUGGGACUUCUCAAAGGAUUUGUUCUCUCUUCCUAUAAAAAGGGAAAUGUUGAACUAAUUGGACUUAUUUGAUAUGUCAAAUUACAUGGAAAGCAUCAUCAAAUAAAUGAUGAUAAACCUUCUUACGUUAUAUUAUAUAGGUGAAUGUUGUUAAAAUAAAUGUUCUAGAGAUUGUAUGAAAAUUCCUAAAAUUCUGAUAUUUCCUGGUAUAAUGUUAUUAGUCAUAGUUUUAGAAUGUAUGUCACAGAAGUGACCAAAUUUACUUGUUGAUUAUGUUAUAAUGAACUUUCACCAGAUCUUUAACCAUUGCUAUUUUUAAUUUUUUGUCAUUUACAGAGUUAUUAUUUUACUCUGGUGCUUUUACAAAUAUGUUUUAUCUGCAGAGAAAUUCAUUGAAAAAUACUCUAGAAUGCAGGUGUUUGAUAACUUUAAGAUCAUCACACUGAGCUGCAUUUAAAGGACCUUCUUUUCUCCUCUAUGAGAAAAUGUAUAUUUGCAACAAAGGUUAAAACAUUUGUCUUUGUCUCCCUACCUGAUCUUUCCAGAAUUCAGAAACUCUUAAGUAUUCCUUUCAUGACAAUAUAUGUAUUUCCAUAAAUUCAAUGAGAAUCUGUUCUUCUUAGAGCAGGACACAAUUGGAAGGAUUAGCUAUAUUAUCAAGCAUUUGACCAGGAUGUCAUAUUCGAAAGAGAUAUAUACAGACUCAGAUAUUUACUAUGAUUAUCUUUGAUAAAAAUGGGAGUAAUCAUGGAGUGACAUAAGCAUCAUGGUGGAGUGAACUUUCCCAGUAAUCUUCCCCCUCUGACAUACAAUGAAAAAACAAACUCCAACAAAGGACAUCCAAACACAAGACAGAUUUAAUGUCAGAGAGAGACGUGCAGCCAUACAACAGAGGGCAGAGAGGCUGGAGCCCCCCUCAGAAGAGGUGGAACAGGGUGAGAGAAAACUUCACUCCCCACCCAAAAACAUCCAUACUCCUGACUGUUGAUCAACAAUGCUUUUGAAGAAAGAUCUUGAUGAAAAAGGGAAAAUGUGAAAGACAAUAAAGGAAAACUCAUUUAAAAUGAAGUCAGAAGUCCAGAAGGGAGAGCCCUCGCACACUACUACUCCACAUCAAUUACAGACCCCAACAGGAAGAAUCAUCAGUUUAACUACCCUCAGCAGAAGGAAGAUUUCCUCCUUGCCCAGCAACUCAGCCAAUGAGAAAUCAUCACCACCCUGAACUCUCACUUUCCAACAAUGGAUUUUCAUUCAAAACAACCCCUCCCAACUUCCUCCUUUUUCUCCAUAAAGUAACGUUCUUCUCGUUUGUUUGCUGGACUUGCGUAUGGCUUUUGCUAUAGCUUGCUUGUCCUGAAUUGCAAUUCCUCUCCUAUUCCAAAAUAAACCCAUUUUGAUGGUAAAAUAACUAGCUGUUUUGUUUAAGUCCACAGUCUCAGGUCUUGUGCUUAUUAUAGAUUUUUUGCCUUGGAUUCUUUAACUGGAAGCAAAAGUCAGCUUUAUUUAAAAGGAAAAAUAGUAAUUCACAAACAUUGGUACUUCUGAACAUGAAAAGAAUCCAUGAUUUUUUUAUUUAAGGUUAUUUCAGAGAUAUUUAUAAUAAAUGUUGUUCUCCAACAGCUUCCUAGUAGGUUUUCGGUAUUGUAUUGCACUGCAAUUCAACCACUUGAGUUUUUAGAUCUUCAAGCUCACACUAUUAAUAUUAAUUGAACAAUGUUAGUUCAUUUUCCUCAAGUUUUAAACCAGAGAAUCUUUCCUGAAAACCAUUCUUCAACUCCGCAAUUCUAGGGAUGUAGCUGCUUAGAUCAUCACUCUCAUUUCUGGGAACCAGCUCCAGUGUAGGAAAUUAGGACACAUUAUAUCUUGAAAAUCAUAGUUCAUGCAACUAUGGUUAAUGCCCUUGCAGAAUACUGUGUUUGCAUUCAUGAGAACUUCA
rnacentral:lncRNA from 1 species